CCCUUAGAUGUUCUGGGCCGCACGCGCGCUACACUGACGAUGGCAACGAGUUUUUCCUUCGCCGAAAGGUGUGGGUAAUCUUUUGAAACAUCGUCGUGCUGGGGAUAGAUCAUUGCAAUUUUUGAUCUUGAACGAGGAAUUCCUAGUAAGCGCGAGUCAUCAGCUCGCGUUGAUUACGUCCCUGCCCUUUGUACACACCGCCCGUCGCUACUACCGUUUGAAUGGUUUAGUGAGGACUCCUGAUUGGCGCCGCCGCCCCGGCAACGGAGCAGCGGACUGCCGAAAAGUUGUUCAAACUUGAUCAUUUAGAGGAAGUAAAAGUCGUAACA
rnacentral:rRNA from 1 species